UGUUCCCGUUCUGUUCCCGUCCUGUCCCCGUUCUGUUCCCGUUCUGUUCUGUUCCUGUCCUGUUCCCGUUCUGUCCCCGUUCUGUUCUGUUCCUGUUCUGUUCCCGUUCUGUUCCCGUUCUGUUCCCGUUCUGUCAGGAAUCCUCUCUCUAAUAACAACUCAUUUCUUUUCUAACACAAUGUUGUGAGCAGAGAUGCAGUUUUCACAAAUUGGUAGCGGAUUGGUGUUUUUUUUAUUUUUAAAUUUAAUGGUUCUAAAAUCGGAGGAUAUUUUCGUAUCUUGAUCUGAUGUUUACAGAACGUGAUGUGAUGCCGUGCAGUCAGUGACUGUCUGGACAUGUAUAGUACCAGAGGAGGGAUAUGGUCUCUGAGUUGGUCUCUUUAGGUGUCCUUUUAUGUGUGUUCAGUAACGCUGUUCGUUCCGUUCGUACGCGUUAGACGGUCUUGUUGUUGCCUGUAGUGGGAGAUUUGAAAGGUUAGUUGUAUAGGGAGUCCUCUAGCCUGUUGGCAGUGUAUUUAGCUGUAGAAGAUAUUCCACAAGUGUCACCGGGUGUUUUAGACAAGGCCUUUCUUCAUCGUCAUCAUCAUCAGACAUGUUAACAGUAGAAAGCUUCCUGUUUCUAAAAUCAAACCAUUUUUUAAUUGGCUUAAUUAUUAAUGAUCCUGAAAUGAGGCCCUCUUCCCCUCUGUCGUCCGCUCAGCCAGUGGGUCAUUAUUGAUUAUUGGAACCGGCGAUUUACAGAUCAAGAAUCUCUGUCCCGUGUCCUCCUGCGUUGUUUCAGGGAAUUCCACAAACGGUCCCUCUUUUGUCCUGUGACCACGUGAGAACAGUUCUGCUGUGUGAACGAAACGAUUUCAGUGUGUCGUGUACCAGCUGCUUUUCUAAACGCUAGUGUCCAGUGGACUAACAGUCAGUGGUCGUAUCUGACUGUAUCUUAACAGAUGGAAAUUGUCAUUUUGAAAGUGUCGAAAAAAGGGGUUUCUGAAAUACAAAACGUGAACUCGUAAAAGAACCACUGCUGCCACGAGGACGUGGAUUAUAACAUAUGAAAUUGAUCUUCGGGGUUUAACGUGGGGCGUAUUUCCUGUUCUCACUGCGCUUUACGUCUCGGACGCGCCGUGUCAUUCCUGAAAAGCAGUUUGACUGUCUAACUCCGAGCGAACCUAAUUAACGUACUGUACUCCCUCCGUGGUGUCUGUCCAAUGAAAUGAGCAGUAGAUUGCCAGCGGUGUGUAGAACGCAGACAGACUUCAUACUAAGGAACGUUGGAAUCUCCCGAUUUUGAUUGAAUUUUCAUGCAAUCUGAAUAUCUGUUUACCAGCCACUGAUGUCAUUGUAAAAAAGGGGGUUUUGUGGCGAGGGGUGUGUAUCGUCGGAGUAUCGUGUUUUAACGUGAUAUACGAGACGUUUUAACGUGAUAUACGAGACGUUUUAACGUGAUAUACGAGACGUUUUAACGUGAUAUACGAGACGUUUUAACGUGAUAUACGAGACGUUUUAACGUGAUAUACGAGACCGUUGUUGACGUGCUCUGACAACUCUCCUCGUCGUUUUGUCUUGAACUUUUGGACGUGGAAAUGUUUCGUUAGCAUUUUUAAAACCAAGAUUUGUAACAAAUUUAAAUAAAAUAAAAAAAAUUAAAAAGGAAAAUUGACGUUAAAAAAAGGUGUCAGAAUGUGGUCCUGGUUUGCUGCCUCCUGCUCUGCUGAGCAGCGACUCUGUACAGUCGUCUCUUACCAUCGUAACAUGUUGUCAGGUCUCUGUACAGUCGUCUCUUACCAUCGUAACAUGUUGUCAGGUCUCUGUACAGUCGUCUCCUACCAUCGUAACAUGUUGUCAGGUCUCUGUACAGUCGUCUCUUACCAUCGUAACAUGGUGUCAGGUCUCUGUACAGUCGUCUCCUACCAUCGUAACAUGUUGUCAGGUCUCUGUACAGUCGUCUCUUACCAUCGUAACAUGGUGUCAGGUCUCUGUACAGUCGUCUCUUACCAUCGUAACAUGGUGUCAGAAGUGAAUUAAACUCAUCAAAUAAUAACAACCAAGUUCAUCCGAUAUAAGACCGGAAAAACAUCGUUAGACUCGACACGAGAGAAUAUCUGACAGAAAAUAAUACUAUUACGUGAGAUUGGUCGGUUUUUUGGGGGGAAGGGGGGGUUGUGACAGAAAAAGAAGCUGAAAGCUCUGUUUCUCUCUCAUCAUCCGAGCGGAGCCGUUGCUAUGGAACAGGCAGAGAGCACAUGGAGCAGAAGCAGGACAAUGUAGGGCCCCAGAGGUGCUCAGGGCCCCAGAGGUGCUCAGGGCCCCAGAGGUGCUCAGGGCCCCAGAGGUGCUCAGGGCCCCGGAGGUGCGCAGGGCCCCGGAGGUGCGCAGGGCCCCGGAGGUGCGCAGGGCCCCAGAGGUGCGCAGCUAACCGAGAAAGUUAUUUCUGAUUUUGGGUUAGGACAGAUGCUAAAUGAAAGAAAAAAACAUUUAUUUUUUGGUUAGUUUUUUUUUUAAAUUCACAAUCCCAAUGUUUUGUUUUAACUUU